UGUAGCUAAGUGCCUAAUACAGAGUAACAUCUUAUGAUCUCAUGCUACUCUGUAUUAGGCACUUAGCUACA
rnacentral:pre_miRNA from 1 species